rnacentral:rRNA from 1 species
UACGGGGGGAGCAAGCGUUGUUUCGGAUUUACUGGGCGUAAAGGGCGCGUAGGCGGCCACCGCAAGUCGACUGUGAAAUCUCCGGGCUUAACCCGGAAAGGUCAGCCGAUACUGCGGGGCUAGAGUGCAGAAGGGGCAACUGGAAUUCUCGGUGUAGCGGUGAAAUGCGUAGAUAUCGAGAGGAACACCUGCGGCGAAGGCGGGUGCUGGGCUGACACUGACGCUGAUGCGCGAAAGCUAGGGGAGCGAACGGG